UCAACUAUGAUGAUGGUCUUUCAACAUUUUGCAGUUUCCACCAGAAAGGUUUCCCUUAGUAUUAGGCAAACCUUUGGAUGUCUGCAUGA
rnacentral:snoRNA from 1 species